rnacentral:rRNA from 1 species
UUAUUGGCGAACGGGUGAGUAACACGUGGGCAAUCUGCCCUGCACUCUGGGACAAGCCCUGGAAACGGGGUCUAAUACCGGAUAUGACCGUCUUGGGCAUCCUUGACGGUGUAAAGCUCCGGCGGUGCAGGAUGAGCCCGCGGCCUAUCAGCUUGUUGGUGAGGUAGUGGCUCACCAAGGCGACGACGGGUAGCCGGCCUGAGAGGGCGACCGGCCACACUGGGACUGAGACACGGCCCAGACUCCUACAGGAGGCAGCAGUGGGGAAUAUUGCACAAUGGGCGAAAGCCUGAUGCAGCGACGCCGCGUGAGGGAUGACGGCCUUCGGGUUGUAAACCUCUUUCAGCAGGGAAGAAGCGAGAGUGACGGUACCUGCAGAAGAAGCGCCGGCUAACUACGUGCCAGCAGCCGCGGUAAUACGUAUGGCGCAAGCGUUGUCCGGAAUUAUUGGGCGUAAAGAGCUCGUACGCGGUUUGUCAC